rnacentral:rRNA from 1 species
UACGUAGGGUGCAAGCGUUUGUCCGGAAUUAUUGGGCGUAAAGAGCUUGUAGGCGGUUUGUCGCGUCUGCUGUGAAAUUUCGGGGCUCAACCCCGAACUUGCAGUGGGUACGGGCAGACUAGAGUGUGGUAGGGGGAGACUGGAAUUCCUGGUGUAGCGGUGAAAUGCGCAGAUAUCAGGAGGAACACCGAUGGCGAAGGCAGGUCUCUGGGCCAUAACUGACGCUGAGAAGCGAAAGCAUGGGGGAGCGAACAGG